GGACUACACGGGUUUCUAAUCCUGUUUGCUACCCACGCUUUCGUGUCUCAGCGUCAGUUACGGUCCAGAGAGCCGUCUACACCACCGGUGUUCCUCCUGAUAUCUACGCAUUUCACCGCUACACCAGGAAUUCCACUCUCCUCUCCCGCACUCGAGCUUCUCAGUAUUCGACGCACCCUCCCGGUUAAGCCGGGAGAUUUCACACCAAACUUAAGAAACCGCCUACACACCCUUUACGCCCAGUAACUCCGAACAACGCUCGCUGCCUACGUAUUACCGCGGCUGCUGGCAC
rnacentral:rRNA from 1 species